AGUGAACGCUGGCGGUAGGCCUAACACAUGCAAGUCGAACGGCAGCACAGUAAGAGCUUGCUCUUACGGGUGGCGAGUGGCGGGCGGGUGAGGAAUACAUCGGAAUCUACUUUUUCGUGGGGGAUAACGUAGGGAAACUUACGCUAAUACCGCAUACGACCUACGGGUGAAAGCAGGGGAUCUUCGGACCUUUCGCGAUUGAAUGAGCCGAUGUCGGAUUAGCUAGUUGGCGGGGUAAAGGCCAACCAAGGCGACGAUUCGUAGCUGGUCUGAGAGGAUGGUCAGCCACACUGGAACUGAGACACGGUCCAGACUACUACGGGAGGCAGCAGUGGGGAAUAUUGGACAAUGGGCGCAAGCCUGAUCCAGCCAUACCGCGUGGGUGAAGAAGGCCUUCGGGGUGUAAAGCCCUUUUGUUGGGAAAGAAAAGCAGCAGGUUAAUACCCCGCUGUUCUGACGGUACCCAAAGAAUAAGCACCGGCUAACUUCGUG
rnacentral:rRNA from 1 species